CUCCCUACGGGGCGCAGCAGUAGGGAAUCUUCCACAAUGGACGAAAGUCUGAUGGAGCAACGCCGCGUGAGUGAAGAAGGGUUUCGGCUCGUAAAGCUCUGUUGGUAGUGAAGAAAGAUAGAGGUAGUAACUGGCCUUUAUUUGACGGUAAUUACUUAGAAAGUCACGGCUAACUACGUGCCAGCAGCCGCGGUAAUACGUAGGUGGCGAGCGUUGUCCGGAUUUAUUGGGCGUAAAGCGAGUGCAGGCGG
rnacentral:rRNA from 1 species